rnacentral:rRNA from 1 species
AUAUUGCACAAUGGGCGGAAGCCUGAUGCAGCGACGCCGCGUGAGGGAUGACGGCCUUCGGGUUGUAAACCUCUUUCAGUAGGGAAGAAGCGUAAGUGACGGUACCUGCAGAAGAAGCGCCGGCUAACUACGUGCCAGCAGCCGCGGUAAUACGUAGGGCGCAAGCGUUAUCCGGAAUUAUUGGGCGUAAAGAGCUCGUAGGCGGUUUGUCGCGUCUGCCGUGAAAGUCCGGGGCUCAACUCCGGAUCUGCGGUGGGUACGGGCAGACUAGAGUGAUGUAGGGGAGACUGGAAUUCCUGGUGUAGCGGUGAAAUGCGCAGAUAUCAGGAGGAACACCGAUGGCGAAGGCAGGUCUCUGGGCAUUAACUGACGCUGAGGAGCGAAAGCAUGGGGAGCGAACAGGAUUAGAUACCCUGGUAGUCCAUGCCGUAAACGUUGGGCACUAGGUGUGGGGGACAUUCCACGUUUUCCGCGCCGUAGCUAACGCAUUAAGUGCCCCGCCUGGGGAGUACGGCCGCAAGGCUAAAACUCAAAGGAAUUGACGGGGGCCCGCACAAGCGGCGGAGCAUGCGGAUUAAUUCGAUGCAACGCGAAGAACCUUACCAAGGCUUGACAUGAACCGGAAACGCCUGGAAACAGGUGCCCCACUUGUGGUCGGUUUACAGGUGGUGCAUGGUUGUCGUCAGCUCGUGUCGUGAGAUGUUGGGUUAAGUCCCGCAACGAGCGCAACCCUCGUUCUAUGUUGCCAGCACGUGAUGGUGGGGACUCAUAGGAGACUGCCGGGGUCAACUCGGAGGAAGGUGGGGACGACGUCAAAUCAUCAUGCCCCUU